GCUGGGCAUAGUGGCGGGUGCCUGUAAUCCCAGCUACUUGGGAGGCUGAGGCAGGAGAAUCGUUUGAACCCGGGAGGCAGAGGUUGCAGUGAGCCGAGAUCAUGCCACUGCACUCCAGCCCAGGCAACAAAGUGAGACUCUGUCUCAA
rnacentral:SRP_RNA from 2 species